rnacentral:rRNA from 1 species
UACGUAGGGUGCAAGCGUUGUCCGGAAUUAUUGGGCGUAAAGAGCUCGUAGGCGGUCUGUCGCGUCGGCCGUGAAAUCUCCACGCUUAACGUGGAGCGUGCGGUCGAUACGGGCAGACUUGAGUUCGGUAGGGGAGACUGGAAUUCCUGGUGUAGCGGUGAAAUGCGCAGAUAUCAGGAGGAACACCGGUGGCGAAGGCGGGUCUCUGGGCCGAUACUGACGCUGAGGAGCGAAAGCGUGGGGAGCGAACAGG